AGAUUGAACGCUGGCGGCAUGCCUAACACAUGCAAGUCGAACGGCAGCGCGGGGGGCAGCCCUGGCGGCGAGUGGCGGACGGGUGAGGAAUACAUAGGAAUCUACCCUGUCGUGGGGGAUAACGUAGGGAAACUUACGCUAAUACCGCAUACGACCGAGAGGUGAAAGCGGCGGACCGCAAGGCGUCGCGCGGCUGGAUGAGCCUAUGUCCGAUUAGCUAGUUGGCGGGGUAAGAGCCCACCAAGGCGACGAUCGGUAGCUGGUCUGAGAGGAUGAUCAGCCACACUGGGACUGAGACACGGCCCAGACUCCUACGGGAGGCAGCAGUGGGGAAUAUUGGACAAUGGGCGCAAGCCUGAUCCAGCAAUGCCGCGUGUGUGAAGAAGGCCGUUCGGUGUUAAAGACACUAGUUGUUGGGAAGAAAAGACACGUUAGGUUAAUUACCCGUGGUGUUACUCGAACGGUACCCAAAGAAAUAAGCAACCGCUAACUUCGCGCCAGCAGCCGA
rnacentral:rRNA from 1 species